UUUAAUUCAUAAAUUUGGUCCUAUUGGCAGUACCAUAAUGUGCCUGAAGUUGUGACCAUAUGCUUUCAGAAGUAUCAGAAUAAUGCACGGACUCAGCAAUCGCAGGAGAAAUAGAAGCAGUUAGCCAUGAAAUUACCAUACUAUUACACCUAUCCCAUAAUCUCUGUUGAGCCACAUUAGUGGCUGGUCGAGGAUAGGUUCCAUCUAUAAAACCAAUUUUAUUUUUGGCAGUCAAAGCAACAAUUAUGUUUCUUCUCCAUCCCCCAAAACCAUCACCUUAGAAUCAAUUUUAUUUUUAGUAGUCAAAGCAACAACCAUUUUUCUUCUCCAUCCCCCAUAACCAUCACCCGAGAAGUGUGUGGGGACAAGAGAUACCCCGGGAACAUCGGAGGAGUAUAGGAAUAGAGGACUGGUAGAGUCCAAAGUACCAGUAUUGGUGUUAACAGCCAUGAUAUAUCAACAAAGAAAACAGAUUCAACAACCAGAGUGUAACAAAUCAAAUAACCACACACAAAGCCAACUACUCAAACACAAAACCAAAAUCGAUACACACAAACCAGGUAAUAUUGAAUUUUAAGACAAAGUUACCCUCCUUCUUCGCUACCGGAAGAAGAUCGGCCUUCAAAUGAUAGUGAAAACCCUAGGUAUGAAACCCUAGGUUCAGAUGUCGAGUCAGUCACCGGAAAUAUGAGAAACGAUGUCAGAAAGUUACCCAAACAUCCACGAGAUGAGAAUCGGACCACCGGAAGACGGUAAAACAGCAAGACAAAACCACCGAAAAACCUAGAUACCGAUAACUCACCAAAAAUCACCCAAAACCGAUCAAAACGUUCUUAAAACGUUGAGGUUAGGAAGAUACACCCGGAUAUCAUGGUGUAAAACACUUUGAACCAUGUCCGAUCAAAGUCGGAAUCAUCAUUGACCAUUCGAUCUCAGAAAAAUCCUCAAAAAUCGUCAAACAAAUGCUCAAAAGUGACACCGAUAUGCAAAUAAACAUGAUCGGAUCGUUGUAAGGCUCUGAUACCAUGUCAAUAUUCAGAUUAAUCGAUAAAAUCACAGAGAAACUAGAGAGAGAAAGUAGAGAGAAGGAGGAGAGAUUGAGAGAACCGAGGAGUCGGUUGUUGGGAAAUGAAA
rnacentral:lncRNA from 1 species